CAUGGAAAUCUAACAAAUAAAAACCCAAUUUUCAAAACAAGUUCUAUCUCCCUAGAGUAUUUAGGGGCGUAGAUUAGUAUAAAUAAUGGAAUAUCAGAGAGCAUAAUCCAUACUGUACUUGAUCAGAGAAUCGAUAGCUUCUGAAUAAAUUCGCAGAAUUAUUUUACUUGAAAAUGUUCAACAUGAAGAUAUUCUUAUUGGCAGUUUUGGCCGCGGCUCUGUUUGCUGUCAAAGCGAAUGCUUGUAUUGCAGACGGCGCUGAUUGCGUAAAUGAUGAGGACUGUUGCAGCCAGGCUUGUUACAAUGAGCAGUGGAUGACACGUCAUUUUUGUGGUACAACUUUUGGUUAAAUACCAAAAAUUUCUCAAAAGUAUUUAAAAAUAAUUUUUGUUUCAAAUAUUUUUAAUUCAUCUCUACAAUAGAAAUUUAUUUAAUUAUCUUCCAAUUAAAUAAAAAAUGUUUUAAAAAUAAAAAAAUAUGUAAACGCUAAGCGAAUAAAAUUUUUAUUUUCUGUCUAUAAGUAAAUAACUUGUCUAAAAUAUGUGAUGGUUCAUAUUGAUAACUCGAAAAAAUAUAAUAAUUAUUUUAUUUUACGAUAGAAAUUUUAGUAGAUAUGAGUAAUUGUCGUUUCGCCUGUACACAAAUGGUAGCACUUUUAAGUAUUUUCGACGAAUUGAUAAGAAGAAAAUUUAUGUAAGUGAAUUUUGAAGCCACGUACGUUCCCAAGCAAUUAAAUUACAAGUACAAGGUUACAUAAACAAAUCGAGUGGGUUCACUAGUAUAAAUAGACAUGUUAAAUGUUGAUUGUCUACAAAAAUAUUGAUAAAAGUAUCGACAUUAACGUAAAAAAAUAAAUCUCAAACUCUUUACGGCAAAAUGUUAAACAGCAAAUUGAUCUUCUUGUUAAUUUUGGUAGUAGCUAUGUUUGCUGCCAAAGCGUACGCUGCUUGCAUUGAGGACAAAAAAUUUUGCAAAAAGGAUUAUGAGUGUUGCAGCGGGGCCUGUUACAAUUACGACUUUAUGAAAACCCAUUACUGUGGACCGACCAUCAAAAAAUAAAUUCUUCAAUUAUUUUCUCUAUAGUCACUAUGGUCAGAAAAAUAUUUCAAGAUAUUUCGAGUUCUCAAAAAUUAUUUGCAUGAAAUUGUUUAUAUUUAUUAAACUAUAUAUGUUAUAAAAAUUAUGAAAUGAAUUUUCGGUUUCUUCAAAA